AUUGAACGCUGGCGGCAGGCCUAACACAUGCAAGUCGAGCGGAGCGGCGGACGGGUGAGUAAAGCCUAGGAAUCUGCCUGGUAGUGGGGGAUAACGUCCGGAAACGGGCGCUAAUACCGCAUACUAUCAGAUGAGCCUAGGUCGGAUUCGCUGGUUGGUGGGGUAAAGUCCUACAAUGGAGACGAUCCGUAACUGGUCUGAGAGGAUGAUCCGUCACACUGUAACUGAGACCCGGUCCAGACUCCUACGGGAGGCAGCAGUGGGUAAUAUUGGACAAUGGGCGAAAGCCUGAUCCAGCCAUGCCGAGUGUGUGAAGAAGUUCUUCGGAUUGUAAAGCACUUUAAGUUGGGAGGCGUUACCAACAGAAUAAGCACCGGCUAACGUCGUGCCAGCAGCCGCGGUAAUAC
rnacentral:rRNA from 1 species